ACUCGACGUGGGAUUCUCUAGUUCUCAAGGCAGACGGCCCUGUACUUGUCGACUUCUGGGCACCAUGGUGUGGACCUUGCAAAAUGAUUGACCCGCUCGUGAAUGAGCUAGCACAACAGUACACCGGGAAGGUCAAGUUCUACAAACUAAACACCGACGACUCUCCUUCAACCCCAAGCCAGUACAAUGUUAGAAGCAUCCCAACGAUCAUGAUCUUUGUCGAUGGCGAGAAGAAGGACGCAAUCAUAGGUGCAGUGCCCAAAUCCACACUCACGUCUAGCAUUGACAAGUUCUUGCAAUGAGAUUGUCAGUCUGUAUGAUCUCUCUCUCUCUCUCCCUCUGUUUCGCAUUCUCAUUCUCUCUGUAACUGGCUCUUUCUUUAAUAGCUAUCUGCUUCUUCUGCUGUAUCUUUUCUUCAUCACUGAACAUAUAGACAUGGAUAAAUAAUAUGAUCUCAUGUUUUUAUUAUGAUUUUACCGUCGCUUGCUCCGUUAAAGACAUCAAAGUCUAGACUAAUGGAACCGUGUGAAAAUAAAGUAAACAAUGAUGGAAUCUAUUUUAGGUCUAUAAGAGAGAGAGAUCUGAAGAGUGUUCAGUUCUGUAACCUUUUUGAUGAGCACACGUUAAGGUUUUGUCACAAGUUCAAAAACUCUAGGCAUUGAAUAUUGUAUUCUGUGAGAGCUUGUUCUACGUAAAGGGACUAAAUAAUGAGAAUUUAGAAUUGGAACCUUUAUUGAUCCGCGAAGCGAAAUAUAUUUUACGUUUCUGAAGUCUCACCAUACUUCAUGCGUAUCCAGUUUAUGGAUAAGGAUGUUAUGUAGGACAAACUGAAUGCAAGCCAAAAAGAAUUGAAUGUUCUUGGACUGAUGUGAAUAUUCUUUGUAAGAGUUGAUUCACGGUUAGGACAAGACUCCACCGAACUCAAAUUGUUUUAUUUUGGUGGAUAAUGUAAACAAAAAGUCAUAGGAAGAUAAUCAUUUGAUUAGUACGUAAAGAUUUUGUUUUAAAUUAAGUCCGCCAAGAAAAAAUUCAAAAUGUCUUUAAACCUGGUUAGAAAUUAUACUCGGCCCAAUCAUUCCGGUUUGUAAACCAACUCUUGACCAUAAUUUCAUUUUGACGUAGUUUUUAGUCAACUUGACUUGGAAACUGUAAAGAUUAACUCAGUUGUAUAUACAAAACUCAAGUAUAGUAAAGGGACUGUAAAAUCAUAUUCACCCCGUAGCAUUACCAAACAAACUGACGUAUGGUCACUUUCAUUCUCGUUUUUUUUCUGCUUAAGAAAAACCAAAAGUCAUAAAAACCAAAAACCCCUAUUAUGAAACUUAUUAAUGUCUAUGAAUAGAGUAGAAUUGGUUUUGUCAUAACCAGUGUAAUCAAAUUUCGAACAAUUGUACAAACGGGAACCUCUUCAUAUAUGAGUUUGGCCAUUCUCUUCUACUAACAUGAUUUCACACUAACCAAGAGCUCUUGGUCUGGUGGUAAUAGAACUCCAGUUGGAACGUAUGUCCUGGGUUCGAGUCGCUUUGACCAUCUUCCCACCUAUAAUCGUGCGUGCCUAGAUAGAAGACCUUGUAGGGAUUAGUCUGGGCUUACCACUUGGGAUACUCCACGGAUAUCAAAAAAAAAACAUGAUAUAAGAGUAUUGAGACUAAAACUUUAAUGGUUACCUUCUUAUUAUUUUCUACUUCAGUUUGACCUUGACUUGUUCUUAUAUGAAGUAUUUAAUGAUAUAAAUUACAAGAAUUGGCAUAUAGCUGUGAUGUGAAAAGCAAAUUAGCGUUUACUGAUGGUUCGAUAGGUAGACAAAAUUAAAUUUCAUCAUAGUUUUAGGAUAUGGUUUAGAUGCAAUUAUGUGGUGAAGUCUUGAUUGUUGAUUAUGUUUCGAUGCAGAUGUAUAAGAUUAAUGUUUUAUUUGUAACUAGAGUCGGCCCGCCCUACGGGCGGGAUAUACUUUACUGUAAUCAAAAUUAUUAUUUUUUAUAUGAUUUGUGUUUUAGGUUUACAUUUGCAAGAGAUAUAUAUUAGAUAUACUAUUUUCUUAACUUAAAAACUUAUUUUUACUAUUAGCAUAAUCUCUCUCUCUCUCUCUCUCUCUCUCUCUCUCUCUCUCUCUCUCUCUCUCUCUCUCUCUCUCUCUCUCUCUCUCUCUCUCUCUCUCUCUCUCUCUCUCUCUCUCUCUCUCUCUCUCUCUCUCUCUCUCUCUCUCUCUCUCUCUCUCUCUCUCUCUCUCUCUCUCUCUCUCUCUCUCUCUCUCUCUCUCUCUCUCCGGACGUGUUAGUAACCAAAAAUACAUAAAUAUAUCAGUUAAAGAGUAUUUAAAAAUGUUUAGCUUACUUAACAUUUAAGGUGAUAUUAACUUUUAUUGUGUAUGUUUUGUUAUUCUUUUUAUAGAUCAUGAUCAUCUUAAUAUUAAAAUGUUCAUGAAUACAUAAUAGUUUCACAUAUUUCUCUGUUUAUUCUACUGUAAUUAUGAUAAUUUUGAUAAUAAGUAAACUAAUUUUUAAUACAAAAAUCUUAGAUUAUAUUUUUUCUUAUGAAUAUUUUUAAUAUAUAUGUCUUUGAUAUUAUAUUAUUAUGUUUUGUUAUUCUUUUUAUAGAUCAUGAUCAUCUUAAUAUUAAAAUGUUCAUGAAUACAUAAUAGUUUCACAUAUUUUCUCUGUUUAUUCUACUGUAAUUAUGAUAAUUUUGAUAAUAAGUAAACUAAUUUUUUUCUUUUCUUAACCCCAAUGGGUCCCCCCCCUGCUCUCCCCCCCCCCCCAUAUCCCUCUCCUUUUCUAAUAACUUCUUUUAAUAUUUUAUAAUAUUUUUCAUUAAAAGGAUUGAAUGUAAAUUGUUAAUGUAAUGGUAACAGCUAAGAGAAACAAUAAUAACAUAUUAAUUGUUUUUAUUUACUACUACUAUUUUCUUGUUUUGAAAUGUAUUUACUGUUAUUAGUAUGAAUAUUUUCUGCCAAAUUCUAAUAUCAGGAGUGUUCAGCAGCAUUCGAGACUAGAUUCACCAGCAUUUAAGAUUCUUUUUGGUUCAGUUUGUCUUAAUGCUCUUAUGGGACUAUUAUAAGUUAUUUUGUCUAGUUUUAAAAAUGGGCAUGUGGGAUUAUAAUCCAUUAGAUGGAAUCUUCCUUUUGUUCUGACUUCUGACGCAACAAAUGGUCGCAUGUGCUUCACCGAAGCAUUAGAAAAAUAUACAUAUACCCUCUGAAUGAUGUGGAGCAAAUUUAACAUUAAAUUUGCCGAUGAUAGAAAUAAUAACGUUUUCGGCUUUUUCGUAUUAACAAAAAGGCUCACAAUUUUCUUUAUCUUUUACUCAUGCCACAUGUCCACUUUUUACAAGCCUGUUCAAAUGUAACGUUGAAUUUGACGAUGAUGAAAUCUGAAAAUAAUAAUGUUAUUUUCGCUACUACAAACCGGUUCGCGAUACUAAUACAGAAGCAAAACUUCUAUCCCAGUGAUCCCACGUAAACAUGUCAACAUCUGCCGGUUUAUGUGUAUUUGGUGAUCAACAAUUCAACAGAAUACUUUCUGAAAUUAGUAUUAUAUAUUUUUCUUGCCGAAAGAUUAUAAUAUCACAAGUCAGUUUUUGUAGCAACUUCCAUAUCAAAAACCGCGAAGUUACAAAGAUUUUGUGAAACUAAAUCUGACAGUUUUGUAAUUACGCAUAUUUUAAUAGCUUAGUUGGUUACACAAACUAGUAAAGUCGGCAUAACAUGACAUUCAAAUCAAGCCUGAUAUUUUUACAACGUUAAAACAAAACAUGUUUUGUAACAUCGAUUGUUUUUACGAUGCAAAAGAUUAACGGAGGUGAAGACGAAACUUGCCCAUGCUCAGUGUUUUUUCAUAAAUGGUGUUUUGUUACACUGAGAGAAAUGACUAACUAACAAGUGCAAUUACGUUUUGAUCAAAUACUCAUUUCCAUAGCUAGGGAAGAUGUAUCUAUAUCCAUUUCGUUAGCUAAAGAUAUUGCACAUGUUUAGGUUUGUAUCACAAAUUUGUUGAUACUAUAAUAAAUACGAAUCCAAUGAUUGACAGAGAUGUAUAUAUGAAGCAUUGAUUUUUUUUUUUAAUUAUGAGUAAGAGUUUAUGAGAGGUGGUUCAGUCUAUAAUGUUAAUUAGUCCAUAAAAAUGAAAUACUAUGACAAUCUCGACACCUAAAACAGAAAACAUAUAAAUACAAUACACAAACGACGUUAUAGUAUAGAUAUUAAAACGUAUAUUAACCGAUACUGAAAGUGAAAAAAGAAGUUAGAUUCAAGAUUUCUGGAGAAGAAAAGGAUCGACGACGGAGUGAAGAGAGUAUAAGAGUAACAAGACGUAGAGGACGAGUGCGACGAAGCCGGCAAUGAGAGCUCCGGUGACCUGAUCGCAAAACUUUGGAACUUGGCCGCAAAUUGGAAGCCAACCUGCGUUUGCGUUUCCUUUCUUUCCCACUUGCGCCACCGCUAACGCCGCUGAUAUGCUUGACGUUAGUAGCAUUGUCAUCACCUCCAAUACAUUCACCAAAAAUGUCAAAAGUUAAUGACAAUUCGUAUGUAUGCUGAUAUAGUCGUCACCUAACAACCUAUAAUAAGCGUGUGACUAAGACACAUUACAUUCAAGUUUAUUUGUUUUAACUUUUUUUUUUUGAAAGUGUAUGUUUUAACUUUUCGUUCAAAGAUUAAUUUACUAGAACAUCUCCAUUAAAGAGUUCUUAGAAAGUAUCUCAACGAUAAAUGAUAAUAAGAGGAAAUAUGAGAAUUUCGUGAAAAAACUCUCAUGCAAAAUAUAAUAUUGUGAUUACUUUAUGUUCUUCUAGAAAACAAUUGUUUAUUUGAACUAUAAUAAUCAACAUUUUAUUAUUUUUCAGUAUUUCACCAAUAAAAAUGCUUUUAUUCCUCUGAACACAUCAAACUACUAGAUAUCAACAAUAAUAUUACCUUUAGAAAAAAACUAUGCUUAGAGAUAGAAUGCAAAUGAAUUAAUGAACGAAGAGAAGUACUAAACCAAAUAACAAUUAUUACCAAAUCCAAGACGACGACGAACUUCCACAGUAAACUCUCCUUAGGAAGAAACAGAACUAGAAAGCUGUAAACACUCACGACAGCGUUUGCGAUCACAAAAUACCUACAAAACAUGUUAUACCCAAUUACUAGCUAAAAAUAUUCACAUAACUUAUGAGAUGAACAUAAUCGAUUUGUGUUUGCAUUUAACAUACUUAAAGGCGGCCAUAUCGGUGUACUUAGCUUCAAGAGAGACGGCAAAGAAGGAAGCUCUCUCGCGGCUAGUGACCAUAACUAUCAAAGCAGCGAGAGCCGCCCCAAAGGCCGCUAACCGUAGCACAAGCGCACCUAUUCUCUUUGUCAACUUCGCCAUAGAUCGAUCAAUAACAAUCUAGUUUAUUUUAAUUUUAUAUGGAACAGAGAAAGAUGAAAACACAAUAAUAUAGCUCAUGAAGGGAAGAACACAAACACAUGAGUUCAUGAAAUAAAUGUAUUGGUAAUAAACAAGAUAUAUAUUAGCUGAGUGAAAUGUGUUGUUAGUUGAGCUUUCCAACUAUAUUCACCGUCAUCGUCCGAUUUUCAGCACACGACCGUACCUUUCCUUGCUCUCUUUGUGACACGUGAAGCCAUAAAAGUGAAUGUAUAUAGUUUAAUUAUCUUGUAGAAAGGCCUAACGUGCAAUCUUAGUUUGUUCCUUAAAAUGCAUUUUUUUUCUAUUUUCUUCAAUUCUUUUUUUAACAAACAUUUUUUCUUCAAUUUUUAUGUAUUGUUUGUCAACAAACACGCAUAAUGUUUAUAUUUUCUUAGGAAACUCAUUAUAUUAGAUUCUUAGUUGGUUUUAGUAUUUUCUCUACAAUAUAAUUUAUAUAGGUUAAUAUAUAUUAAUUAGUUAAGGGACAACAUAUCAAUUGUUUUGAUGCAAACAGGGCUGAUUCAAACCCUAUCUUAGAAUUCAAUGUGAAAUAUAUAUUUUAUAGGGAAAUACGAAACUAGUAUACAUUUUGUGAGUAAUGACGUCUUUUUUUCAGUGAGCCGUUGUCCUAACUUAUGUGCUUUUGUCUAGUGGGCUGGUAUUAACGUUGACAUUUUAUAUAUACAUCGAAUAUAUUUAUAUAUUUCUUUUUUGUCCAAAGUAAAUUGAUAGUUACCACUUACCAGCAAUAAAAAUUGUCUACAAAAUUCGUUUCUUUUUUUCAAAGUAAAAUAAUUUUAAUUCCACAUAUCUAUUAUGAAUCGGUUCCUCUCAACUAUCGAUCUAACAUUGCUUUUAGUGGCAAAAGUCAGUGAAAUACAGAACAAAAAAAUGUAGUGGGUGACCUAUUUAAACUGUUUUCACAUGAAAAAGAUAGAGAUAGAAUGUUCCCCUACGUUUAGAAACGAAAUCCAAUUGUAGAAACUGAUUUUAGAUGUCUACCAACUACCAAGAUUUAGCUGUCACGACGUGGACGAACGCGAGGAUACAAAUAUAUAUAUACGAAGAUCAUGCAUAUUAACACAAGAGAUGUAGACUAGUUACAUAUAUUUUUGCUGAUUAAGAAUGCCAAUUGAUAAUUGAAGCAAAAAAAAUAGUUAAGAUGUGUUAAGACCACCCUUAGAAGCAUGUUAGGCUGGUUAAGUAGUCUACAAAGACUCAAUGAGCAAACGAACCCAUGCUGUCUUUCUGCAUGUAAAUGAUAGUUUGUUUGACAUGUAUGGCAUUUACUAACAAACACAAUUGCAGAUUCAAAAGUUUGAACCUUGCACCACAAAACUUUAGAACUUGACCAAAUUUUCGAAAUGGAUGCUAUUACAUUCGAAAUAUAUUUUUAUAUCUAAAGAAUCGUCUUACUAAGCUUUAGAGGCUUUAGGUAAUAGAUUGUCUAUAUACGUUGCCCGACAAAAGAAAAUUGUGUAUAUACAUUAUCACUGCCAAUAAUAAUAGAGCGGCAACCUUAUUUGAUUUUUUUUGUUUGUCAACACUUUAUUGGAUUAAUCAGUAGAAAAGUUUACCACUAACACAUUAACAUGUUUUUUAUUUUCGCCAAUGGAGUAACGCAUGCAUGGAUGUGUCGGGUCGGGUCUUUCACUCCAUCAUCAUGUGAACAUGGGCUUUAUGUUUGAUACAAGGCCCAUUAAAGUAGGUUUCCACAGACAUACAGUUUUUUUACUCUUUUUUUUCCUGAUAUAUCUACAAAAAUCAAUCUCAACCAAUAAAAAGCUUCCGAGUUUUUUUUUUAAUGUUAAAAAAAAAAACAAUAAAGAAGCAUUUAUAUAUGUUUUUUUCAUUUUUAUUAUCUGGAUAUUAUUUUACACUUGGGGAUUAGGAGGAUCUCUCUCUCUUAGCCAUGGCUGCUGCUUUCACCUGCACCUCUCUCCCUCCGCUCUCUCUCCGUUCAGAGACGAAAGCCGCAGCAUCCUCCUCACUCUCAGCUCGCCGUCUCUUCGCCGUGUCGCCGGAAUCAGGAGGAUUGAGAAUCCGUCUUUCUCAGUCGCCGUCCUCGUUGACCUCGAUUCAACCUAGGGUUCCUCGAUUACGAAGAGGCGUCGUCGUCGUCUGCGAAGCUCAGGAAACUACGACUGACUGUAUGUUAACAUCUCUUUCCUUGUUCGAUUUGGUUUCCGCUCGAUUCGUGUUGAUUGAUUGAUUGAUUGAUUGAUGUUUCUUUAGAGAGAGAGAGAGAGAGAGAGAGAGCGUUUCCCUGCUGGAAUUUAGGUUUUCUGUUGAGAUGAACUUAGUUCAUGUCGUUUUGCGUGUUGAAAAAUGAAGAGAGUUGCGUUUUGGGGUCUCUCUUGUUUCAGUGGAUAUUAAGCAAGACAAAAUGUAUACUCUUUUUCAUAAAUUUGAAGUAUCUAUCGAUUGGAUCACACACAUUUAGGACAAGACAGUGUUGAGUUAUGUGCAAUGGGGAUUCUGUGCUUUUAGAGUUGAUAAGUAUAAGAUUAUUUUGCCUACCUACUCAGCUUUCUAUGGACUAGAAGUCUACAUAUUUAGGACAAGAAAGUGCUUAGUCCUGUACAAUGGGGAUGUUGUGGUUAUUGAUACUAUUGCUUUUCUAAGAUAUUAGAUAGGUGAAUCCUUUCUUAUGAUGAUGUGUUUAGUGAGAUUAGGCAAGGAUCUCUCUCUCUCUCUCUCUCUCUCUGCUACAUUCAGUAAUUGACACGAGCAUUAUCCUCACUUGGACUGAUUUUGAAUCACACAAACUUCAUUCUAUUUGUGCUUCAUUCAUGGAUUCUAUGUAAGAUGUGUGUGCAGUAUAUACUAUGUAACUCCAUUAUCCAAGUCAUGUUAACAUCAAGUGUUUACUUCUAGAUUGGAAUUAUAUAGCUAUAGGUUUAGUGCAUGCGACAUACCCAUGUGACCAGAGAUUGAUUUGAUGAAUGAGUUUCUGUUAUCUCUCUUAUUAACUUACAUUCAUGAUUCUGAAUGAUUAGUUGUUUCUUUUGUGUGUAUUGAUGAUGGUAGUAGUUUCAAUAAUAGUCAACGUCUCAUGUAACAAAAGAUGGAUGAAUGGUUUUCAGCUGUCUGGCUGGUUAACUUAGCAAAGUGUUGUCCUUUCAAUAUAUUGACUAACUUAUUUUGCUUUUCCAUUCAUGAUUCUGAAUUGACAAGUUAUUGUUUAUUUUGUUAAUUUGAUGUUAUCAUAGUAGUUUCAAUAGUGAACGACUCGACGUGGGAUUCUCUAGUUCUCAAGGCAGACGGCCCUGUACUUGUCGACUUCUGGGCACCAUGGUGUGGACCUUGCAAAAUGAUUGACCCGCUCGUGAAUGAGCUAGCACAACAGUACACCGGGAAGGUCAAGUUCUACAAACUAAACACCGACGACUCUCCUUCAACCCCAAGCCAGUACAAUGUUAGAAGCAUCCCAACGAUC
rnacentral:lncRNA from 1 species